rnacentral:tRNA from 1 species
GCCGGAGUAGCUCAGCUGGUAGAGCACUCGCCUUGUAAGCGAAAGGUCGUCGGUUCGAGUCCGACCUCCGGCU